UUUGAUCAGACAGCCAGGAACUCGACCCCCCUCAGUAUAUAAAUGUCCGAAACAGCCCCACCCCCUCAGAACCUCCCCCUCUCAAGCCUCGUCAUCUCUAACCCCAGAAACCCUAGAGCCCGCCGUCCCUGAAACCUUGACCAUCUCCGCCUGCGGCGACACCAUAAACCACUCCAAUCCACCUGAAAAUAACACCCCAUAACCCUCUCACCCUCCUUUUUCCAAAUCUCAACAUAGUUCCCCUCGAAUCCCUCUCAAUCUCCUCGAAUCUUAAAUCUAAAAGUCGGAGUUCAAACCAUAAUUCAGCUAAAUUAUGCCCAAACACUCACCACUUCUUUCUCUUCCCAAAACCUAAAGUCAGUCCCUUCAAAUCCCUCUAAAACCUCACAAAGGUCAAAUCUGGGCAAACAUGCAUGGGUUUCUAAGGCGAUUUGAGUCGGAAAAAGGUGUUCCUUGUUUGUUCUCAAAGGGGAACAUUCAUUUGACACCUCUUUUUGGAUUUAAAUCGAAGAAGACGGGUCUAGCCGAAACAACCAGACAGUCAUGGCAGUAGGUACUCGAUUCUUUUUUCCUUUCUUCUAUCUUCUCACCGUCCUACUUUCGUCAUCUUCUUCAACUGUUACUGUUUUUCUUUUGACCGAAAAAAGAAAUGGAUUAAUUAGUGUUAUUUUUAGUAAGUUAUUUUAGGUUUAAAAUCAUGAGUUUGCCAUCAGAUCAUUAGGUUUCCAGUUUUCAAUUAAGGUUUACUUUAUUUCUAAUAGUCAGCAUAUUAGUAUUUUUGGUUUGAUUUGAUUCCCUAUUUUAAUGGUUGAUUUAAUUACUUCAAAAGUUUGAAUUAGGUUCGGUCAUCGACUAUUUCUUUUGUUAAUAAUAGUCUCAAUUAGUUUAAGUGUAUUUGUUUACAAACUAUUUUUUCUGAGUGUCUCUUUUGAAGUUUAUUUUUUUAUUCAGGGGUUAUUUUCUUAAAUUUCAGAUUGGGUUCAUUCCUUUAUUGUUCAAGAUUCAAUUUGGGCUGUUAGUGUACAGACCCAUGGGUUUAGGGUGGGUCUUGGGUUAACUUGACCCAAUUUUAGUUGUCUGAGGGUAAAUAACAGAAGUUUAAAGGGUAGUUUAGGGAAAUUAGUCAAGGGAAUCUUGUAUAACUAACUUAGGAAGCUGCCUAGAAGGUGGAAUUGGGGCUGUUUUAGAAAGCUGAUUUUUAAACUAAGGACCAAGUAGCAAAAACGAUAAUUCUAAAGGGAGUAAAGGGAAAAUAACUUGACCCAUUUUCUGCUGCCCUAAUUGCUCCCUAUAAAGACAUUGUUUCUUCACUAGCAAGGUAGAGUUUGGAGACUGGAAAACACUAAAAAAAACUUUAGAAACUGUUGAAUUUUUCAAAAGCAACAAUACUGAAAAAAAUUGCUAAAAAUUAGCUUGGGUUUUCUGGUUCUUUGGUUUCCUUCAGUUGAUUAGAACUUCUAAGAUUUCCAAAUCGAGUAUCUGGGUUCUAAAGUGGUUGAUUUAGUUUGGAAGUUUGAUUGAUUUGCCGCGUGGGUACUGUUACAUUGUUGUUGUCCUGCUGUUGUUGCUACUCCCUCACUCCAUCUGUUUUUCUCUUGAAUUUUCCAGGUACUUUUGGGAACUAUGGACAUCACUUGAAUGUAACAUUGAAUUUGGAAUUGGAAAUGUGAUAAAAUUAGUGUUGUUUGCUGCUGAAUUUCAUUUCUCCUUCUUUCAAUCUCAAUAAUGGUUGUAAUAUUCAGGUCUAGGAAUACCUUGUUAGAUUAUUUCAUGAUUAUGAAUGUGGUGUCUUAGCGUUAAUUUGAAGUUUAAGCUACCUGAUUCUCUUGCUUUAGUUGUCAGUUUGGCUGAAAUUUGCUAUAGGUGAAAGAAAUUCCCUAUGUGUUUGCAUUAACAGUUAAGCAUGUGUUGAAUCGAUUGGUUUGUACUUGAAUCUUAUUGGACUUGGUGUUUAAGCUCGGGGC
rnacentral:lncRNA from 1 species